rnacentral:tRNA from 1 species
GGAGUGAUUGUCUAAUGGUAAGACACCUCCCCGCUAAGGAGGCGGCGCAGUAAUGUGCUUGAGCGUUCGAGUCGCUCUCACUCCGCCA